ACUACCAGAGGUGUAAUAGCGUGGGUGCAAACACGAUUGGAUAUCAAGGUCUGCACGCCGUAAACGAUGUCAACUAGCCGUGGGAGCCUUGAGCUAAUAGUGGCGCAGCUACCGCACUAAGUAGACCGCAUGGGGAGUUCGCUGCAAGGGUCAGUCUCAAAUGAAUGCACGUGGACCGCACAAACGGUGGAGCAUGUGGUUUAAUUUGAAGCAACGUGACGAGCCUUUCCAGGCCUUGACAUCCAAUGAACUUUCUAGAGAUCGAUUGGUGCGUUCGGGAACACUGAGACAGGUGCUGCAUGGCUGUCGUCAGCUCGUGUCGAAGAUGUCGGGUUAGGUCCCGUAACGAGCGCAACCCUUAUCGUUAGUUACCAACAAGUAAUGUUGUGCUCUCUAAGGAGAGGGCCGGUUAGAAACUGGAGGAAUUGUGGGGAUUUCAUCAAGUUCAUCA
rnacentral:rRNA from 1 species